GAUGAACGCUGGCGGCGUGCCUAAUACAUGCAAGUCGAGCGAACAGACGAGGAGCUUGCUCCUCUGACGUUAGCGGCGGACGGGUGAGUAACACGUGGAUAACCUACCUAUAAGACUGGGAUAACUUCGGGAAACCGGAGCUAAUACCGGAUAAUAUAUUGAACCGCAGGGUUCAACAGUGAAAGACGGUUUUGCUGUCACUUAUAGAUGGAUCCGCGCCGCAUUAGCUAGUUGGUAAGGUAACGGCUUACCAAGGCAACGAUGCGUAGCCGACCUGAGAGGGUGAUCGGCCACACUGGAACUGAGACACGGUCCAGACUCCUACGGGAGGCAGCAGUAGGGAAUCUUCCGCAAUGGGCGAAAGCCUGACGGAGCAACGCCGCGUGAGUGAUGAAGGUCUUCGGAUCGUAAAACUCUGUUAUUAGGGAAGAACAAAUGUGUAAGUAACUAUGCACGUCUUGACGGUACCUAAUCAGAAAGCCCCGGCUAACUACGUG
rnacentral:rRNA from 1 species